GACGAACGCUGGCGGCGUGCUUAACACAUGCAAGUCGAACGGAAAGGCCCUGCUUUUGUGGGGUGCUCGAGUGGCGAACGGGUGAGUAACACGUGAGUAACCUGCCCUUGACUUUGGGAUAACUUCAGGAAACUGGGGCUAAUACCGGAUAGGAGCUCCUGCUGCAUGGUGGGGGUUGGAAAGUUUCGGCGGUUGGGGAUGGACUCGCGGCUUAUCAGCUUGUUGGUGGGGUAGUGGCUUACCAAGGCUUUGACGGGUAGCCGGCUUGAGAGGGUGACCGGCCACAUUGGGACUGAGAUACGGCCCAGACUCCUACGGGAGGCAGCAGUGGGGAAUAUUGCACAAUGGGCGGAAGCCUGAUGCAGCAACGCCGCGUGCGGGAUGACGGCCUUCGGGUUGUAAACCGCUUUCGCCUGUGACGAAGCGUGAGUGACGGUAAUGGGUAAAGAAGCACCGGCUAACUACAUG
rnacentral:rRNA from 1 species